CCUGAACAGAAGAGGGAAUGCAAAGGAAAAAAACACGCAAUUCUUAUAACAUAGAGCCUUUCACUGUGCCGACAGCUCUCCCGCCAUCCCCCCCCGACCUUUUUUCCCCCCUCAUUUUGACAGUUUUCUUUGACUUGCAUCAGCAGAGGGCAGGGUUUCUCCCUUACAAAUAACGGAUUGUUUUCUUGGCAAAAUCCCAAUAUCCAGCCAUUUAAAGGGUUCUGGUCCGCAGUCUUACAGUAGUAUUUACUCCAGAUAUAAUAUUUGAGCAUAUAUACCUCUUGACGGUCUUCAACCAUGAUUUUACUAUCUGCAAUGAACUGCUUUUCCUUGCUGUAUUACUAGCUGGAAGACAGAUCAUGACAGAAGGCCGAAUUCAACAAAGCAUAAUUUCUCAUCAAUGACAGACUCACCUGAUACCUACUAUCUGAACAUACUACAUGGUGUAUGCUGCCCUGGGGAUAUUGGCAUCAGUUCAGGAACAGGAACGUUUCGGGACAUAGAGACUGAAGUUACAACAAAUAUGUUUUUAAUAAAAAUAUAGAAUAAAAAUAUAAGCCCUAACAUUUUGACCCUCUUUCUGCUGCAGUAGUUAUUAGGAGCAUCUCAAUGGCAAGACACUUUCAGUUUAAAUUAGAUACAGAAAACUUAGAUUAUUAUGUUAAACAGUAUCCAACCUGAAGAGGAAACUACAUGUACAAAAAUGAGAAAUCUGAUGGGCAAGUAAACAUGUAAAAAAUCCUUUCAAUUUAAUACACUGCACAUUAUUUUUCAUAUUUUUAUUUUUCAUAUUUAAUUGACUGUAAUCUGUAAUCUUAAUCUGUAAUCCUUCCUUUCAGAAUUAUACAGAAUCUGUCCAAACUUAAAAAUGGUUGAAUUUUGCCACUUUUCAAUAAAAGAUCAUUGGACAAAUGAGCACUCUUCAGUGUGUGGAGAAAAACAACACAGCUCAGGAAUGAUACCAACUGCUUUGCGUUCUUCAAACUUGCAGGACAUCUGAAGACACAGGAUGGUUGAGGUUGGAAGGGACUUUUGGAGAUCAUCUAGUCCAACCUUUCCCCCCCUCCCCACCUACCCAAAGAGGAUCACCUAGAGCACAUUACCCAGGACCGUGUCUAGACGGCUUUUAAGUAUCUCCAAGGAUGGAACUUCCACAACCUCUCUGGGCACUUCAGGAAGAUCUCUGUCUGACUCUCUGAAGACUGAUUAAAUGUAUAGCAGGUUGCCCAGGACCAUGAAUAUCUCCAAGGAUGGAGACUUCCACCACUUCUCUGGGCAACCUGCUCCAGUGCUCAGUCACUCUCACAGUAAAAAAAAAUAAAAAUAAAAAUAAAAAAAAUCUAUAUUCAGAUGGAA